rnacentral:misc_RNA from 1 species
AGUGAUGAAAUUCCGGAAGAAGCAAAACAGAUUAUGCGUGAGAUGGGCAUCGAUCCCGAUAGUUGGGAAUACUGACGCCAGAAAUAAAAAAACCCAGCCGAAGCUGGGUUUU